rnacentral:rRNA from 1 species
UACGUAGGUGGCGAGCGUUCUCCGGAAUUACUGGGUGUAAAGGGCGCGUAGGCGGGGGCGCAAGUCAGGUGUGAAAUCUAUGGGCUCAACCCAUAAACUGCACUUGAAACUGCGACUCUUGAGUGCUGGAGAGGUAGACGGAAUUCCUUGUGUAGCGGUGAAAUGCGUAGAUAUAAGGAAGAACACCAGUGGCGAAGGCGGUCUACUGGACAGUAACUGACGCUGAGGCGCGAAAGCGUGGGGAG